rnacentral:rRNA from 1 species
UACAGAGGUCCCAAGCGUUGUUCGGAUUCACUGGGCGUAAAGGGUGCGUAGGCGGUCGGAUAAGUCUGAUGUGAAAUCUUCGAGCUCAACUCGGAAACUGCAUCGGAAACUAUCUGGCUAGAGGAUUGGAGGGGAGACUGGAAUUCUCGGUGUAGCAGUGAAAUGCGUAGAUAUCGAGAGGAACACCAGUGGCGAAGGCGAGUCUCUGGACAAUUCCUGACGCUGAGGCCCGAAAGCUAGGGGAGCAAACAGG